rnacentral:rRNA from 1 species
UGUAAAGCACUUUCAGCGAGGAAGAAGGCCUGAUGAUUAAUACUUGUCAGGAAGGACAUCACUCGCAGAAGAAGCACCGGCUAACUCCGUGCCAGCAGCCGCGGUAAUACGGAGGGUGCAAGCGUUAAUCGGAAUUACUGGGCGUAAAGCGCGCGUAGGUGGCUUGAUAAGCCGGUUGUGAAAGCCCCGGGCUCAACCUGGGAACUGCAUCCGGAACUGUUAGGCUAGAGUGCAGGAGAGGAAGGUAGAAUUCCCGGUGUAGCGGUGAAAUGCGUAGAGAUCGGGAGGAAUACCAGUGGCGAAGGCGGCCUUCUGGACUGACACUGACACUGAGGUGCGAAAGCGUGGGUAGCAAACAGGAUUAGAUACCCUGGUAGUCCACGCCGUAAACGAUGUCGACUAGCCGUUGGGAGCCUCGAGUUCUUAGUGGCGCAGUUAACGCAAUAAGUCGAC